CGAACCUAUGGCCGGCCCGCCCCUGACCCGCUGGGUUAGGUGGCCGGGUUAGCACCCCUCGUCGCCUCUGUACCCAAAACAGAUGCGCUGCGCUACCCAGGGCGUAACCUUGUCACCUCUACCCCUCUUCUGGUUAUGCCAUUACCAAUCGCGGGUAACCCCCGGGCCGGCCGCCCCUGACCUAAUAAGAACGAUUAUCCUAUUGACUAAAGAAGAAGCAGCUUACUUACUUCUCGAGCGAUAGUUCCACGAUCCCGACAAGAGAUUUUGAGGAUGUCACGCCUGAGUGUCGAAGACCCUUACGCCGAGAAGGCCGGUGGACCAUAAGAUAGAGCUGGAACCGGAGGCUUUGCGCCGCCCCCCUGAACUAUCAGAGCUAAGGAAGCAACUCAAGGAGCUGAUCGAUGCCGCAUCUUCUGGUCUUGGUUCCUUUCGGACGUGCAGGCGGAUCC
rnacentral:lncRNA from 1 species